GACGAACGCUGGCGGCGUGCUUAACACAUGCAAGUCGCACGAUGAACCGGAGCUUGCUCUGGGGAUUCGUGGCGAACGGGUGAGUAACACGUGGGCAACCUGCCCCAGACACCGGGAUAACCAUUCGAAAGGAUGGCUAAUACCGGAUACGACCACUUCGGGCAUCCGAUGGCGGUGGAAAGGAUUCUGGUCUGGGAUGGGCCCGCGGCCUAUCAGCUUGUUGGUGGGGUAAUGGCCUACCAAGGCGACGACGGGUAGCCGGCCUGAGGGGGCGACCGGCGACACUGGGACGGAGACACGGCCCAGGCUCCUACGGGAGGGAGCAGUGGGGGAUGUGGCGCAAGGGGCGAAAGCCUGACGCAGCGACGCCGCGUGAGGGACGAAGGUCAUCGGAUUGUAAACCUCUUUCAGCAGGGAUGAAGCGAAGGUGACAGUACCUGCAGAAGAAGCGCCGGCUAACUACGUGCCAGCCGCCGCGGUAACGC
rnacentral:rRNA from 1 species